rnacentral:rRNA from 1 species
UACAUAGGGGGCUAGCGUUGUCCGGAAUUAUUGGGCGUAAAGAGCGUGUAGGCGGCCAAACAGGUCCGUUGUGAAAACUGGAGGCUCAACCUCCAGACGUCGACGGAAACCGUGUGGCUAGAGUCCGGAAGAGGAGAGUGGAAUUCCUGGUGUAGCGGUGAAAUGCGCAGAUAUCAGGAAGAACACCAAUGGCGAAGGCAGCUCUCUGGGACGGUACUGACGCUGAGGUGCGAAAGCGUGGGGAGCAAACAGG